UUGGCAUAUUCUUUAAUUUCAAUAAAAGGUAUAAAAAAUCUGUACAUCAAUUAUUGGGCAUGGCAUUUACCUUAAUAUAAGGCUAAAAUAUAAUAUAUACAAUAAAAAUAACAACUUUCUCAUAUUUUACAUCUUACAUGUAUAAUUUUUUUCAGGCUUAGCACCAAUGAAAUAAAUAUGCUACACUAUCUUACUUAGCAUACUUAUUCUAAAAUAAUUAGAGUAUAUUGAACUAUAAUUUAAAUAUGUGUGCAACCAGUCUUUGAAAAUAUCAUAACCUGUACUGGAAUUAACUAUUUUGUUUUGUUACGAUUCUGGACUCGGCUUUCUCAACUGUCAAAUUUUUAGAAAUUAUGUCAUUAGAUGCUAAGUUGAGUAAAUCGUUCAUAAGAGGCAUUAAUGAAGUCUACUGGUUAACUAGAGCAAAUUAGAGUCCAAUAUCGAAGAGAAUCCAGAGAUUAUGAAAUAUGUAAUUAGAUUACCAAAUCAUGUUGAAGAAACUCCACACCUUUACCUAAAUUUAAUGAGUUUUUAUGUUUUUCAAUUCUCUGAUACUUACAUCAACAUGUAGAAUUUCGUUUUUUUUAAUUAUAUUAAAGUUCAGCUGAAAAUA